UGACGGCUUCUAGGUAGUGCGUCCCAACGAGGAACUCGUCUACUUACUGCGUUACUUUCUCCCUCCGUCCCACCCCGGCUCCGAGCAGGUGGUAGAACCCACUUCCGGAUUUCCGCCCUUCCCUCCUCCCGCGCACUCCCCCCUCGGGACGCAAGACGCAGGAAAUCUCGCGAUGGCGAGAGGAGGCGGUACAUCCCCUGAAAUACUUGAAGAAACUCAGUUGGGAUGUGUUCUACCUACAAGUCUUGGCACCAACAGUUUGAAGAAAAGCAGUUGGGGAGUUUUAAUUACUGGGAUCGUUGGUGGGACGCUGGUGGCGGUGUAUGCUGUGGCCACACCAUUUCUAACACCAGCCCUCCGAAAAAUUUGUUUGCCUUUUGUACCUGCAACUACAAAGCAGAUUGCAAAUGUUGUGAAAAUGCUGCACUGCAGAAGAGGAUCCCUGGUUGACAUUGGUAGUGGCGACGGGCGUAUUGUGAUAGCAGCUGCCAAAGAAGGAUUCACAGCUGUUGGUUAUGAAUUAAACCCAUGGCUAGUUUGGUACUCCAGAUACCGUGCUUGGCGAGAAGGGGUUCAGGACUCUGCCAAAUUUUAUAUAUCAGAUUUGUGGAAGGUUACUUUUUCACAGUACUCAAACGUCGUUAUUUUUGGUGUGCCUCAGAUGGUGUGAUAUGCCCUGUAUACUCUCCAGGAAGGCAGCCACCAGAUUGUUCCAGAUUCCAAGCAAUCGAGAUAAGGAAAAGCCUAUUUUAAUCUAUUUUGAUUCAGUUGACAUUUCAAUACAUGAACGCACAAUGAGAGGGUCACUCUGCAGGAAUGUCUUUGCUUGUUUUGUGAAAAUGUACUUCCUCUCCAACAAGUUUUGCCAAGAAGUUAAUCUUCAUGUCAAGAAAUACUGUUGGGUGAAUGAAAAAAUCUGACGUCCUGUCCUCUGGGAGGGCACUUCAGCAACACUCUUCCCAAAUACUUGAAGCCGAGCCAGACUAUUAUUAGAACAAACAAUUGAUUAAUUUUUGCAACAUUCAUAACAGAAAACUUGUAUGUUAAAUGUGUCUUCUUUCUAAUGAAGUUGGAGUGCUGGGUACCAGAGCAGCAGGACUCAUUAGACGCGCUUUUAGUAGCAGCAUUUCCAGGGAGGAACAAACAGGUUAAUUAAAAGCAAAUCUUAUAAAAGAUUCUUGUAUCUGAGAAACUGACCCAUCAUGGACAAAAUUUCAAGACCAAGGAGAAAGAAUGCCAUCUGGAAUUAAAGGAAGCAUGGCCCAGGCUCCAGCCGUGAGUGAGUGCAGCAGGAAUGUCAGCUGAAGCUGCUUCUGCUGACAGCCAUAAUCAUGCCUGAUCCACCAGUCAGUUCUCAGAAUUUGAAAGGAAAAUGACACUAUUUUGGGAUUAUGAGAAGGCCAAUGGAAAUCUGAUGGUACCACAGGUAGUAGCUCUUCUUUACUGAUCCAUCCCAGGGCAUUCUGCUAGAAGCAGUUGCUGGGAUAUAGUUCAUUUCACAUAUCUGAUUCUAAUGGAAUGCAAACAAACUUGUUAUAAUUACUUUCCCCUUUUAAGUGGUUAAUACAAUAUCUGUGUAUGGUUAAAAAAUCAUUUAAAAAUACAGCAUUUUAAUAAUGGGAGAAUGGGCAAAAUGAGUGAAGGAGAGUGAGAGAUCCAGGCUUCUAGUUAUGGAAUGAAUGAGUCACAGUACAAUUGAGGAAGUAUAGUCAGUGCUAUUGUCAUAGUGUUGUAUGGUCACAGGUGGUAGCUACACUUGCAGGAAAUAGAGCGUAACACAAGAAAAUAAAAAAA